rnacentral:lncRNA from 1 species
AUGCUCUGGAUGAUGAAAGUAGCUGCCAGGGGACUUUUCACGUUAAAGGAAACAGAGCAGGAGAUGAUAAGCUUUCAGGGAAGGUCACUGUUGAUUUUACUCUUGAUGCCUUCUAUGCAAUGGCUGGCUUGAAAAACAGUAGCUGUGUUUAUCCGAAUUCAAUUUUAACACGCAGUACUUUGAAGAUGAGGUUAUUUCGAUAUUCGUGAAAUCGUGGGAUGAUUCAAAGAAAGAAGCCUAUAAACGGUGGUUGCUUGAGUGAGUGAACACUGACAUACAUGGUGAGGGUCAGAGGAAAAGCAAGGAGAAAACUGUGAGAUUUGAUUAACAAAUGUGGAAUUGCGGAAAAGAAAACAUACUUUCAGAAAAGACAAAAACAAACCCCACCAUCAAGGUAUGUCUGUUCCAGUUCUUAUAGAAACUGAGCAGCAUCUAUGGAGACAGCACUGAGGUAGGAUUUGGGUAAACGAACACAUUUUCAAAGGAUGCUCAUGUAUGUGUUUAAUGUAAUUGUACUAGAUGUUUUAUAAACAGGAUAUUUAUAAUUUCAGUACCCACCAUUCAUAAAAUAGGUACUAUUUCAAUCAGUCCUCCUGAGAACCUCAUGAUUUGUGUUGUCAUCCUGACUCAUAGCUGAGAUUGUGAAGACUGAGGCUGGGUAAGACAUCACGACCCGGGCCUUGUGGUCGUGAGCAGAGAGCUGGGGUCUAAGCCCAUCAGCUCAUUCCUAGCUGUGGUAUGGGGUCUUCUGAUAGUGCUUUGCCUGAACAUGCUAAGUGGGUCCCGAGAUAAAUAUGUGGGAAUUUGCUGGGGAAAGAGCAAGCAGAUAUCUUCUAUUUAUAGAAACUUAUAUUUCUAUUCUAUAGAAACUUAUAAUCUUAUUUAAAAACAAAACAUUUUUCAUGCAUUUCACAAAAUAAAUUAGAAGUUGUGAUUCCUAUCUUAAACAUCCUCAAGAAGUAGCAAAGACCAUUUUAAAAGAGGUAUGUGGGGUCUGGGUUUCUGUUUGGAGAAUAAGACAUACAUUAGGCACCAGUGUGUAUAUAUUCAACGGGCUUAUAAUGAAAGCUACAUUUGUGAGCCACAGAAGCUCCCUCUUCAAUCUUAAAAGAAUAUGUAAUUUUUACUGAAUGUCUUUGAUUUAGCACAACCCUUUUGUCAAUCCCUGAUGUCCUUGAGGAUGCUCUAGCUGAUUCCUGGUUUUAUCU